rnacentral:rRNA from 1 species
UACGUAGGGGGCAAGCGUUGUCCGGAUUUAUUGGGCGUAAAGAGCGUGUAGGCGGCCGCACAGGUCCGUUGUGAAAACUGGAGGCUUAACCUUCAGACGUCGAUGGAAACCGUGCGGCUAGAGUCCGGAAGAGGAGAAUGGAAUUCCUGGUGUAGCGGUGAAAUGCGCAGAUAUCAGGAGGAACACCAAUGGCGAAGGCAGCUCGCUGGGACGUGACUGACGCUGAGACGCGAGAGCGUGGGGAGCAAACAGG